UGAGCUGUGUGAGCCGUGCGAGCUGUGUUUGCCUGCUGGGCUGCGUCUGGGAUCAUUUCCCCCUGAAUCUGGGUGUCAACUUGCUGCUAGAGGAGUGGCUGUUGUGAAGCCACAGACUCCCCACCCCUCCUACUGGGUGGUCAGUUUGGAUGCUUUUGGCCAGGAGUGGCCAGUUAAGCUGCGUGGAACCUACCAGCUGUUUUGUCCUUCCGGGUUGCUGCCACGACCAGCGUUGGCACACGUAAUCACGCCUGGUCUGCCUCUGCUCCGUGGAGUCGGCCGCCUGCACUCCAAUCUACUGGCUGACCUCCUGAACAGAGCUUGAACGCUCGUGGAACGCCAGGCGGAAGACGGAAGCCAUCUUUUUGGUUUAUUUUUUCUUUCUGCUUUAAUUAAUUUUGUUGAAGACCAGUGUUGGUGUAUUUUGUUGUGCUGUUGGUUCUUUAAUUGUUUUCAUUAUUUUGGUUAUUUUUCAUUUAUUU